rnacentral:tRNA from 1 species
GCCCUGGUGGUGGAAUUGGUAGACACGCAGGACUUAAAAUCCUGUGGACAUUAGUCCGUGCGGGUUCAAGUCCCGCCUGGGGUA